rnacentral:tRNA from 1 species
UGGCUCAGUCAGUAGAGCAUGAGAUUCUUGAUCUCAGGGCCAUGAGUUCAAGCCCAU